CACAUUCCGACGAGACCAACAUCCCACGCAGGGGGGAAUUGCCCAGCUUUGAAUUUGGGACGAUGCAAACGAAUGAGUCAAGGUGAAUGCUAGCAUUAGAAGAGUCAUUGCGAGCACC
rnacentral:snRNA from 13 species